GGGGAUGACAGGCUUUGACAAGUCUUGUCGUCGGAUUGAUGCGCGAGAGAGCCGAAAGGACUCUUAAAUCCCUUUCAAAAUCUAAUUGCAAAAAACACUUUUGCAAAAAUCGUUUCUCCGUACUUUACGGCUAACGAUUUCCAGUUCGCCUACGCUCGAGUUUAAAACUCGCUAGGACGAACUGCACAGCACCGUAAGACGUCUCGGGUAGCGGCUGUUGUGUAAUUACGUGAGACUCUGGAGUUUAUUCCUCGAUCUGCUCCGAAACUAAGAGGAUAGAGUUGUGGAGGCUUUUGUUUGCUCUCUACUCCACUACUUGAAUCAAAUAAAGCAAACUAACCCGCGUAGAUUUCACUUCGACCUUUUCUUGGACCCGGAUUCAAUUUCCGGCAUCUCCACUA
rnacentral:tmRNA from 3 species